GCCCUAGCUCGGAAUGGGAAAUCCCUGUAUGAUGUUCUUUCUCUGGAAGUGCUUCCAUGUUCUUAAAUCCUGUUUCCUUUCUUGCCAUCUUUCCCUCAGAGCCGCUAAGCGUCUUGUCCUAUGAACCCUCUGCUAGUGCUGUUCUUUCCGGCUCAACCCACCCAGCGGCCCACCCACCCCACGGAAGAGGUUUGGGAAGACGGGUCAGAGAAGCUCCUAGACUCCUCUGAGGCCCUAGUGCCAGCGUGUGAGGAAAACCACUUCGGUGUCCGAGACGUCCCUUCGAGAAUGUCCAUAUGGAGCCUUCCUGUGUCGCCCACCUCCUCCGCAGAGGAAGCGCACAGGCGGGGAGCGCUGGCCAAGACAGAAACAGGAGCCACACUCCCUCUGACUCGAUUUUGAAUCCUGACGUUGUCACUGACAUGCAGUGAUUGAAUCCCUCUGCACCCGACUUCUGUCAUCUGGAAAACACGCCCCGCUUUCAGAGUUGCGGCGCCAUGGGCCUUGGGACGUUCGGAUCCCUGCCACUCCCUCGCCUGUGCCAUGCGCCUUAGCCCAUCCUGUAGGAGGCAGAGUCCAGACCCAGCUGCGGAGCAGGCGUGUCAUUGUGUGCUUAACCCCAGGGGCUUCUGGGACAGGAGCAAAGACCCCAUUUUGGUCCAUACUGUCAACUUGACUUAUGUUCCCGUCUUCCCUUGGAGAAGUUGUCACACUAUUGUCUAUGAUUAUGAAGGUGGAAUGCUUAAUUUUGGCAUAAAGCAAGCUGUGAGUGUUGGCUUUUGUGCCCUGAUGUGGGCUGUUGCCUAGAAUUUAAGGAGAGUUUAUAAUUUAGAGUUACCCAAGGAAGUUGGUAUUCUUACUUGUUUUUUAAGGAUCGAUGAACUUUGUGCACCCUACAUAGGUCUGUUUGGGCAUUGAAGAAAAGAAACGCUCCUUGGUUUACCUAAUCCAGCGUAACAGAGAG